AUUGAACGCUGGCGGCAGGCUUAACACAUGCAAGUCGAGCGGGGGAAGGUAGCUUGCUACCGGACCUAGCGGCGGACGGGUGAGUAAUGCUUAGGAAUCUGCCUAUUAGUGGGGGACAACAUCUCGAAAGGGAUGCUAAUACCGCAUACGUCCUACGGGAGAAAGCAGGGGAUCUUCGGACCUUGCGCUAAUAGAUGAGCCUAAGUCGGAUUAGCUAGUUGGUGGGGGAAAGGCCUACCAAGGCGACGAUCUGUAGCGGGUCUGAGAGGAUGAUCCGCCCCACUGGGAUUGAGACACGGACCAGACACCUACGGGAGGCAGCAGUGGGGAAUAUUGGACAAUGGGGGGAACCCUGAUCCAGCCAUGCCGCGUGUGUGAAGAAGGCCUUAUGGUUGUAAAGCACUUUAAGCGAGGAGGAGGCUACUUUAGUUGAUACCUGGAGAUAGUGGACGUUACUCGCAGAAUAAGCACCGGCUAACUCUGUGCCAGCAGCCGCUGUAAAAC
rnacentral:rRNA from 1 species